GAUGAAGAACGUAGCGAAAUGCGAUAAGUAAUGCGAAUUGCAGAAUUUCCGUGAGUCAUCGAAUCUUUGAACGCACAUUGCGCCCCCUGGUAUUCCGGGGGGCAUGCCUGUCCGAGCGUCAUUGCUGCCCUCAAGCACGGCUUGUGUGUUGGGCCUCCGUCCUCCUCCCGGGGGACGGGCCCGAAAGGCAGCGGCGGCACCGCGUCCGGUCCUCGAGCGUAUGGGGCUUCGUCACCCGCUCUUGUAGGCCCGGCCGGCGCUUGCCGACACAUCAAUCUUUUUUCCAGGUUGACCUCGGAUCAGGUAGGGAUACCCGCUGAACUUAAGCAUAUCAAUAAGCGGAGGA
rnacentral:misc_RNA from 1 species